rnacentral:rRNA from 1 species
AUUGAACGCUGGCGGCAUGCCUUACACAUGCAAGUCGAACGGCAGCACGGGAGCAAUCCUGGUGGCGAGUGGCGAACGGGUGAGUAAUAUAUCGGAACGUGCCCAGUCGUGGGGGAUAACGCAGCGAAAGCUGUGCUAAUACCGCAUACGAUCUAAGGAUGAAAGCGGGGGAUCGCAAGACCUCGCGCGAUUGGAGCGGCCGAUAUCAGUAUUAGCUAGUUGGUGGGGUAAAGGCCCACCAAGGCGACGAUAUGUAGCUGGUCUGAGAGGACGAGAAGCCACACUGGAACUGAGAAACGGUCCAGACUCCGAAGGGAGGCAGCAGGGGGGAAUUUUGGAGAAUGGGCGCAAGCCUGAUCCAGCAAUGCCGCGUGCAGGAUGAAGGCCUUCGGGUUGUAAACUGCUUUUGUACGGAACGAAACGGCCCUUUCUAACACAGGGUGCUAAUGACGGUACCGUAAGAAUAAGCACCGGCUAACUACGUGCCAGCCGCCGCAGGAAAAC